rnacentral:tRNA from 1 species
GAGGAAAAUCCGUGGACUUUAAAAAUCGUGAG